AUCAGCUUAAAACAAUUUCAUGUAUAAUUGACAGAGUGAGUCACGUGGCUGAAGCGGAGUGAAGCUGGUGCGGCUUCCUUUGAACGGAAGGCGCUGCCUCUCUAAGAGUGAGCCGCACUGCUCAGCGACACUGCUUUGGCGGGUGCUAUUGCUGAACCUUUGCACACGUGCUGUCAUGAAGCUAUACAGACCCAGCGAGAGAGAACCAACCAGAGAGCGGUGUUAAAUCCACACAGGAGUUUAUUACCGGCCAGGACCUGAGCCGAGCAUCGGACUCAAGCCCCGACUGGGGGGAGACAGACAUGUUCUAUACACCUUUGAGGCCAGCAGUUUCCAGGACCCCUAUGGGAUAGAACUAGCAAAGCAAGCAAAAGAUUGAUUGGCUUCAAAAAUAAAAAAAAGAAUCUGAAUUCUGAAGACUUGCUGCUGGAAGCCUGAAAGUACUGGGGACCAAUAUCCAAAGGCAAUGGCAAAGACCAGAGCUCCUCCACAGAAAAAAAAGACAAUUCAUCCGUCCUUACUCCACCUAGGGUACAAGCUUACUGGUUGACGCAAACCUCAUACAGCACACAUCUUCCCUCCUUAGGCUGUGGCCUACACGCACAAACACUCAGGGCUUUACUAAAUCUGCUAGGUGGCUCAUACACCACUCAAGUGGACAUAUCACAAUUCAUGAUCACGAAUACCUAAGUUGAGUCUUUCUCUAAACUUGCCCUUCAUAGAUACUCUUCAGAUGUACAAAUUAUAGUAUGAUUCCAGCACAUCUUUGCAUGUAGAAGCCAAACAUUGUGCAAUAAAAGCCUCAAGGCAACCACAGUCACGACUUCAGAAAGAACAAAUCACCUGCACACGAGACAUCUGCUUCCUAAUACUCUGCACCUUGUCACGGUCAACAGUUCUUUAAACUGUGUUGAUUUAAAGCUUAAAAACAAUUUUUUCUCAUGAGAAAAUGAAGAUGGGAAAAAUUUAUUUUCACAGGAUAAAAUUUAUAGAAAAAGAGAUAAAAUGUGCAUUGUCUAUUUUUUCCUGUGCAUUGGUGAGUUCUUCACCAUUCUAGAUGUAUAUUGGCCCAAACUGCUCUGUGCCUAGAUAUUUACAUGCUGUUUUAUCUUUUUAAAACUACAGUAUUUCUUUACUCCCACACCUUUACUAACCCAUCUAGUCAUUUCUGUAAUAAAUUCUAAGCAUUUUAGAAGUUCCUCUCUAUUUCUGAAAGUAUAAUGAUCCUAAGGUUGAAUCCUCAUAAUGCUGAAUCAAAUCACUCAACUUAAAUUACUCAAUUGAUGCUGUAUUACAGGACAUAUGAUGACAUUUUGUGUAGACUAGGGACAUAUUUGUUGUGGCUAUUAUCAAUGUCCUGUCACACCAUCUGGAUUACAAGAACACACAUAGAAUACAAAAAUAUUUGGCCAUAUUCUAGAGAUUAUGAUCCACAGGCUUCUAAGACUCCUAAAUCUCCUAAGAAAAGAAGUAAUGAGAAAACUAAAGAAGCAAAAAAGGAAACAAAAGAACAGAUGGUAGAGAAAGUGAGGAAAGAGUCUGGAUAGUGAGAAAGAAGGAAUAUAGGGACCAAAGUGCCCCUUUAACUACACUCCCAGAAACAAAACUCUGAAGAAGAGUUGAUGGGUAAGGCUUUUUUCAUUUUGUUCUUCUGGUCCUCAUUCCUGAGGAUGAAUAUGAUGCAGUUUUGACCAUGGUGUGUCAGAUCUUUCAAAGAGACUCGGAUAUUUCCAAAACUGGGACAACGUAAAUGACAAAGGAACAGCCAGAAUGCUUGACAACCAGCAGAGCCAGAGUACUUGAAAACCACAGUGAGGUACACUGCACACAUGGAGAAGGGCAUCUGCUGUCCCUCAGUAGAGCAGAUCCUUAACUUGGAGGUCACAAUGAAGACACAGGAGAAUACAAUUAAGAUUAAACAGUCAAUGAGAUCUCACAGCCAGUAAGACUUCUUCUCCCUACAAUUCAACUUCAUGAGGAAAAAUGUGGCAGAGAAAAUCUUGGGUUACAUUAGACUCACAUAGGACAAGGUGGAAAACUAGUAUUGUCACCAAAAUGCUAUAACUGAACAUGGGACGUAUGUCAGGACAAAGCCCCAAGAUAGGCACUUUCACAAGGGCUGCUUGGCAUACUGUCACACAAAGGCAUGGAAAGGGACACACAGUGGGCUUACCCCCACAACCACGAGGAAGGGUUGUGUAGCAAAAGCUGAAGUGGAACAUGUGGUUAGCUCAGGCCAUACAUGUGAAGCAGCAGUGGAGGCACAGCACAGUAAUAUCACUGAUGGUCAUGCUGAGCACAAUUUCAGAGAUGCAGAAAGCAGUCAGGAAGAGGUACAUGGCUGUGUGUGGACUGUAUGCACUCUGGCAAGGAACUGAAGUGACAAUCAGUUUUCUAGUGUACAUUCCUCUCCCAGUGGGUUUGCAAGUAACUCCUUGCAGAGUCCCCUGCUGUGGAACAGGUGCAUCAGGAGGAAGACAGCUGGCUGGAGCUGCCAUGGGAGAACAAAGAAGCCAAGAGGAUGAACUGCAACCACAUGUAACAGUUCUGAAGGAGCACAGCUCUUGUGCCUGCUGAGAUCCAACACAGAAUGAAAACACAGUGGUGAAAACUUAGGUGGUUGCACAGCUCAAAUGGGAACUUAAUCACUUACCAGUCCAAUUAUUUAAAUACAGGAUGAUCCAAGAUUGCAUAUUUUUUGUGAAUUUUUAUAAGAUAAUAUAGCAGGAAAUAUGAAAAUGACAAUUUUAUCAAAUUUAUUCAAUACAAGAAUCAACAAGUUGAAAUGACUCCUGCUUGAGUGACGCUAGGGAUGGUAUGUAAACAAAAGUGCUGCCCACGUGAUGCUUGGAGGACACUGCUAAGUGGUUAAUAAUUCUAUAUGACUGCACAACAUGCUGGGUAUUUAUUACAGUGUCUCUUUCCUCAUCUAUUCAAAAAUAAUGGUAUUAACAUUCACCAUGGUGAUAAGGGUAAAACAAGAGCCUUAUAUUAAGGGCUUAAGCCAGAGUUUAGCAACUAGCUGGGUUUUCUUAGUACCGACUACAAGAAAGGGCAUGUGUUUACAGUCACUGUAGACAGGAAUUGAUGAUCAGGUUAUAACAAACCUACCUCAGAGUGCACAUGUUCUAGGAAACAUAUAUUUGUAUCUGGUUGGUUUGUAAAAUAUUUUCUCUGAGAGCCCAUCUUUCCUUGAUUAUUUAGAAUGUAUUGAUUUACGUAUGUUUCAAAUGUUCAUUAUUGGCAUUCACUGAAGACACCAUACUCCCUAUUCUAUGGAAAAUAAAGGGAUCUAGGGAUGCUUCUGCACAUUUGAAAUCUAGCUCCUAAGAAAUAUCUAAAGCAAAAGGAUCAUAAUUUUAAGAUAAAAAUGGGUAAAAUAUCAGGAGUUUGUAUUGCUAAGCAACCAACAUAAAAUACAUUGUAAAAUUCUAUGAAACUCAAGUAGUAAACAGCAUCAUGUCACUGAGAAAUAGGUAGAAAUAUCUAAAUCCUAAGUAGUGGACUAAAGUUGCAAAUUUUGACAGACUUCAGAAAUGCAAUGUGGGAAUUAUUUAUUUUAAUACAGUUUAUAAUAUUCACACACUACAUAUCAGAUAAAUUUCAAAUAUUUGUAAAAUACAAACUAUAUGUCUUGCCAAGCAAAUAGGCAACUUUUAAAAACCAUUUUGUUAGGAUAUGUGAAAUCUACUUUCAAUUACAAAAUAUAAAUAUUAGAUUGCUUAUAAUAAGGAAAACUACAAAUUACAGGGGAGGAACAGCUUUAGAAAUCUCAUAUAUUUUCUUUUCCAAGUGUAGGUGGAAGGAAUCAAAUAUCAUCAUCACAUGAAGGAGGUGCUCCACUACUGGACCAGAUUUAAAUUCCACCCAUGUUACUUAUACAAUGUACAUUAAAUAAUCUAGU
rnacentral:lncRNA from 1 species